CGGAUUUUGUGGUAUUUAGGUGUACAGUUUCAGAGAGUGCUAUCAUCAUCAUUUAAGGAGUUAUUAUGAGAAAGGCUAUAAUAUUCCAUUCGGUAGCUUAUCCAUUUUUUUUAAUUAGAUUAAAUUACCGCUUUUUCCUUCUUUCUUCUACUUUAUUUUCUCACAGAAUAAUUUUGUUCACAGAGCUAGAUUUUCUUCUAUUUGAUCUA